ACGCACGUGUGAAACUUGAAGGAAUUGACGGAAGGGCACCACAAGAACGCGUGGAGCAUGUGGCUUAAUUUGACUCAACGCGGGAAAUCUUACCGGGUCCGGACACACUGAGGAUUGACAGGCAAUAUUAGCAAUUCAUUCGGUCUCUCGGGGCUGUUUUGUGUUGUUAUGUUAAAUAUGCUAGUCCUUUCAUGAUUAUGUGAUAGGUGGUGCAUGGCCGUUCUUAGUUCGUGGAGUGAUCUGUCUGCUUAAUUGCGUUUCACUAAGGGCCUAUAAUUUAACGUGUGUUGCGGCACUUUGACCCCUCUUCGGAACGCGCGUCUUAGUUUGUUUAGCUCACACAAUUAGGUCCUGAAGGCAACGAACGUGACCG
rnacentral:rRNA from 1 species